GAUGAACGCUGGCGGCGUGCCUAAUACAUGCAAGUCGAGCGAACAGACGAGGAGCUUGCUCCUCUGACGUUAGCGGCGGACGGGUGAGUAACACGUGGAUAACCUACCUAUAAGACUGGGAUAACUUCGGGAAACCGGAGCUAAUACCGGAUAAUAUAUUGAACCGCAUGGUUCAAUAGUGAAAGACGGUUUUGCUGUCACUUAUAGAUGGAUCCUCGCCGCAUUAGCUAGUUGGUAAGGUAACGGCUUACCAAGGCAACGAUGCGUAGCCGACCUGAGAGGGUGAUCGGCCACACUGGAACUGAGACACGAUCCAGACUCCUACGGGAGGCAGCAGUAGGGAAUCUUCCGCAAUGGGCGAGAGCCUGACGGAGCAACGCCGCGUGAGUGAUGAAGGUCUUCGGAUCGUAAAACUAUGUUAUUAGGGAAGAACAAAUGUGUAAGUAACUAUGCACGUCUUGACGGUACCUAAGCAGAAAGCAACGGCUAACUACGU
rnacentral:rRNA from 1 species